GUCCCCAUCGUCUAGAGGCCUAGGACACCUCCCUUUCACGGAGGCGACCGGGGUUCGACUCCCCGUGGGGACGCCA
rnacentral:tRNA from 2 species